AACGAACGCUGGCGGCAUGCCUAACACAUGCAAGUCGAACGAGACCUUCGGGUCUAGUGGCGCACGGGUGCGUAACGCGUGGGAACCUGCCCUUAGGUUCGGAAUAACUCCCCGAAAGGGGUGCUAAUACCGGAUAAUGUCUUCGGACCCAAGAUUUAUCGCAUUUGGAUGGGCCCGCGUUGGAUUAGCUAGUUGGUAGGGUAUAAGCCUACCAAGGCGACGAUCCAUAGCUGGUCUGAGAGGAUGAUCAGCCACACUGUGACUGAGACACGGCCCAGACUCCUACGGGAGGCAGCAGUGGGGAAUAUUAGACAAUGCGCGAAAGCCUGAUCCAGCAAUGCCGCGUGAGUGAUGAAGGCCUUAGGGUUGUAAAGCUCUUUUACCCGGGAUGAUAAUGACAGUACCGGGAGAAUAAGCUCCGGCUAACUCCGUG
rnacentral:rRNA from 1 species